rnacentral:rRNA from 1 species
UUGACCUCGGAUCAGGUAGGGAUACCCGCUGAACUUAAGCAUAUCAAUAAGCGGAGGAAAAGAAACCAACAGGGAUUGCCUCAGUAACGGCGAGUGAAGCGGCAAGAGCUCAAAUUUGAAAGCUGGCCCCUUCGGGGUCCGCAUUGUAAUUUGCAGAGGAUGCUUCGGGAGCGGCCCCCAUCUAAGUGCCCUGGAACGGGACGUCAUAGAGGGUGAGAACCCCGUAUGGGAUGGGGUGCCCGCGACCAUGUGAAGCUCCUUCGACGAGUCGAGUUGUUUGGGAAUGCAGCUCUAAAUGGGUGGUAAAUUUCAUCUAAAGCUAAAUAUUGGCCGGAGACCGAUAGCGCACAAGUAGAGUGAUCGAAAGAUGAAAAGCACUUUGAAAAGAGAGUUAAAAAGCACGUGAAAUUGUUGAAAGGGAAGCGCUUGCGACCAGACUCGCCCGCGGGGUUCAGCCGGUAUUCGUACCGGUGUACUUCCCCGCGGGCGGGCCAGCGUCGGUUUGGGCGGCCGGUCAAAGGCCCUCGGAAUGUAACGCCUCUCGGGGCGUCUUAUAGCCGAGGGUGCCAUGCGGCCAGCCCGGACCGAGGAACGCGCUUCGGCACGGACGCUGGCAUAAUGGUCGUAAGCGACC